UACGGGGGGGGCAAGCGUUGUUCGGAAUUACUGGGCGUAAAGGGUUCGUAGGCGGUGCGGCAAGUCGGUAGUGAAAUCUCCAGGCUUAACUUGGAGGCUGCUGCCGAAACUGCUGUGCUAGAGUGCAGGAGAGGCGAGUGGAAUUACAGGUGUAGCGGUGAAAUGCGUAGAUAUCUGUAGGAACACCCGUGGCGAAGGCGGCUCGCUGGACUGCAACUGACGCUGAGGAACGAAAGCUAGGGGAGCAAACAGG
rnacentral:rRNA from 1 species